CUGUGUGCCUCUGGGCAAGUUGCUUGAGCUACCUGGAUCUCUGCCUCCAUCCAGCACAGAUGGGAGAUUUCAGUGCCUACCUUCCAGGUGUGGAGAAAUUGAGCUGUCCUCCCUUGUGCAGGUUGAUUGUCUCAGGUAUUAUGUGACAGUGAUGGAAAUCCAACACAGGUGCCUUGGUUACUGUUGACGCACCCUUCACCAUUGCCAUACUGUGUAAAAUACUCAUGGGUGUGACAUCCAUCAUGGUCACAGUUCUCUCCACACUCGUGGGAGGGGGAGAUCCAGGCUGUGCCCAAUGGGGGCCCAGGCCCGAGCUCUCCCUUCCACAGAUGGAAGGAAGAAACUCGAAAUUCACAUAUGUUGCAUCUGAAAGUCUGUUUCCAGGAGGGCUGGUGGAAGGAGCGCGAGGAGACUUUCUCCCCGGGAGAGCAGCUGGGAGAGGAUUUCUGCCUCAUUCCUCCUUCACACAGGGGUAUUUAGGAUGGGUCUGCGGAGAGCACAGCCAGCCACGGUUCAUCUUCCUGUUGACUGUGCUUGCACCAAGAAACAGAAGUUUAAAGAAAGCAUUUUCUAAAAUAAAAACUAAGUCCCUCAAAAGUAUAAAUGUAAGUUGUUAGAUUUUAUUAAACCAGAGCAACAGAAGACCUUCGUGAAGAAGUUUAUUGCCACUUGGUUAAUUGUGAAAUGGCUUGGGCUUAACUGCAGAAGCCUAAAACUCUCAGGUAGCUGUAGUUUCCGUGUGUGGCAGAACUCUUAGGAAGGAAGGGCUUCCAG